AGCCGCCGCCUCGUGACAGUCCUGACAGUGUCUGGGUGGCGGUAGUGCGGAUCUGGUUGUGACCGGGCAGUGCCUGGAGGUGGGGCGGGAGCCACAGGGUGGAGGGGAGCCGGACCCUGCCCUGAGAUACUGCGGGGGCUGGAGGGGAGCCUCAGAAAGGUCUGGAAGGUCACCCUGGGGCGGGGGCGGGGAGACAUUCCAGUGCAUCGGGCCGCGGACAUUCACAGCCUGACGUGUGGCUCGCUGCCCUCCCCCGGGGCCCGGUGUCUCGAGCGUGGCGUGAGAUCGGGCCGCUGCGGGGGCGCCGAGGGCACUGGGGCCCUGAGAGCUGCGGGAUGGGCAGGAGGGGUGCGGGGGUGGCGGACAGCCGUCACCCUCGUGGACCCGAGCUUGUGGAGGUCGCUUCAGACUCCAGGUGGAGCUGAAUGUGGGCGCGCGAGCGAUUGCCGCAGGGACGGCUUCUGCGGGGGGCACCUACCCUCCUGCUCCGCCCGCAGGCGCAGCGCCGCUGGCCCCUGUCCCCAGCAGCCUCUGCUGGCCGGGCCCUGUGUACAGGGCAGACCGGGUCAGGCGCUGUUUCCCUGCGGGCCUCUGGCAGUGCCGUCGGGGCAGAGAUGGUGGGGAGCAGCAGGAGGGGCUCUGGGCGGUCACCAGCCCUCUACCCUCUCACAUCCAUGGCUGUCAGGAAGCCACUGGCCCGUACUUGGCUGAAGCUACAUCUUGGCCCCGGGGUGGUGGCGGAGACAGGAAGCCCCCCGUCAUGCGUCCCCCAAGGUCCAGCCAGGCGGGCAGUAGUCCUGGGGCAGAACCCACAUCUCCCCUGUCACUGUAUGUAGGCAGAGCCCAGGCUCCCGCCCCGCCCACACAGCACCCGAAGGUCCCAGACCAUCCCGCGGUGCCCUCUGGAGCCCCGGACCAGCCCUGAGAAGCUCAAGAUGUCUUUUUUUUUUUUUUUCUUUUUUGGGUCACACCCAGCAAUGCACAGGGGUUACUCCUGGCUCAUGCACUCAGGAAUUACUCCUGGCAGUGCUUGGGGGACCAUAUGGGAUGCUGGGAAUCCAACCUGUGUCCGGCCACGUGCAAGGCAAGCGCCCUACCCGCUGUGCUAUCGCUCCAGCCCCGAGAAGCUCAAGGUGUCUUAACCCUGUCUGGACCUUGCUCUGGGAGGGGCCACCCCAACCAGAAGUGCUCCUGGCCCUGGGGCCAGCAUCUCCCCAUCUCCCACUUUAGGCCUGGUGCUUUGCUUUCGGGUGAGAGUGCCUUUGAGGCUGGCCAGGCCUGCACCCUCCCCUCCAGCUGUGUGUGUGUGUGUGUGUGUUUGUGUGUGUGUGUGUGUGUGUUGUGUGUGUGUUCUCCUGCCCUGCCGCCUGGGUGUGCCCCUGCUGGCCCUCCUGGUGUCCUCUGCCGACACCCAGCAUGUUUGUCGUGACUGUCCCCUCCCCUGCCUUCUCCUUAUUUGCCUAAAUCCCCCCACGUUCCCCUGGAUGUGGACUAGGGGCCACAGUUCUCUCUUCGGUUGGGUUUGGGGCACACCCAGCAGCGCUCUCAGGACUCACCCCUGGAGGAGCUCCAGGACCUGUGGGGUGCCUGACCGCGCGGCCUUAGGCCCCCGCUUCACCCUGCUGGGUGUCUACCUCAGGCCUUGGAGUGCUGUGCGCCCCGCCUGGCGCUGCUCCUCCUGGGGCUUCCUGCUGCUGGCUGGCUGGCGUGGAAGGGAGGAAGGAGGACGGAUACAUCUGACUGACAGACGGAUGGACAGACGGACAGAGGGAAGGAUGCGCAAGGCACUGUGGAAGACGGGUGAGAGCAGCACUCAGUCGCACCCCUGUGUGUGGGAGACCCUCAGCCUCCUCCUCUGGACAGGCAACUCCUCGCCCAUCCUCAUUUCUGCUGAUUCAGGCUCCUGGAGGCUGCCCUGCCCCCAGUCCCAGGAAACUCCCACCAGGCUGCGAGCCAGAGCCGAGGUGACUGGAAACCGUGCGAAGACGCUGACGGCUCUGUGAAUUCAUCCUCCCCCGCCGCCGCCCGCGAAGAGUCAGGCGCUUCGGGGCUCCAGUGACACCCCACGGCCCCUGAACCCGAGCGCCCCCACUGGGGUGCAAGCUGCCCUUUCCCCGAGCCAAGAUGCUGUGCCGCCCAGCCGGCGGGCACCCGCACCUCCUGGGGGCAGGGCGACUGUGCUCUCCAGCAUCGGCCCCCAUGGGAGACGAGAGCCAGUGCUGACCUCAGCCUGAACAUGGCUGCCCAGCAAGGACGUGGCUGCCCUGCUCCCCCUGCUCCUGCCCCUCCCCUCUCCCUCUCCCCUUCCCCUCCUCCUCUUCCUCUCCCGCCUCAACUUCCAUCCGUCCUUUCAUUCUUCUUGUCUUCGUCCUCCUCCUGCUUCUUCCUCCCCUGCCCUUGCCCAGCUGUCUGCCCAGUGGCUUCCUGUCCCCUCACCACCUCCCCCCUCCAGUCAGAGGGGCCUGACCAUCCCAGUGCCCACUGCUGUAUCAGGGCUGGGCUGGAGCCAGGGUCACUGGUCCCUGUCCCGUCCCUGCUCUUCGGGCUGCCGUGGGCGUCCCUGCCCGCGCCCCGCUGUCCCUGUGCUCUGCUGGCUCCGCACAGCCCUCCCCAACAGCACGGACAGGCGGCACCGUGUGUGCCCCGAGGCCCGGCUGCCCCAAGCACUGUUGGGCUGAGGAGUGGCUCCCUCUCACAGGCCCUGUUCCUGAGUCUGUGCACCGGGCCGACCCGGGCUGCACGCAGGCAGGCGCCUUACCACGGCCUCAUCCCAGCUCCAGGUUCACGCUAUGGGCCAGGAGUGCUGGCCUUGCACACGGCUGACCGCUCCCUCCCGGAGCUGCACACGCGCCUGAGCCAGACGAGAGUGAAGGGAACCCUGAGCACAGCACUAGGAGUCAGCCCUGAGCACUGCCAGGCGUGACCCAAAAACAAAAUUGAACUUUUUGCUUUGGGGUCACACUCAGGAUCCUGGGGUACUCUUUGCUCAGUGCUCCUAGUGGUGCUCUGAGGAUCAAGCCUGGAGCCGCAGCCUGAAGAGUGGUCUCAGCCCCCAGCCUCUCCUUUUCUGGAAUCUUUUCUUUUCUCUUCUUUUUAUCUCCCUGGUUUGGGGGCCACACCCAGUGGUUCUCAGGGCUGACUCCUGGUUCUGGGCUCAGGAUCACUCUGGGCAGGGCUUAGGGGGGCCAUGGGGUGCUGGGGAUCAACCCAGGUCAUCUGCAUGCAAAGCAGCCCUCCUGCUCGCUGUCCUAUGGCUCGGGCCUCCGGAGCACGGUGACUCUUUGGGGCUCCUGGCUGACUCCUGGCUUUGUGCUCAGAGUCACUCCUGACCGGGCUCGGGGACCAGAGGUAGCGCUGAGGACCGAGCCCGGGUGGGCACAGGCACGGCAAGCGCUGCUCCUGCUGUCCUGCCUCGGGCCCCUGGUCUUAUGCUCUCCCCGUUGGCAGCAGCAGACCAAGCCCCUGCCUCGCCCAGCCCCGAGAAGCCAGUCCCUGACCCCGGCCACGCCCUGCCUGGCUGCGUCCUGCCGCCUCGGGACUCGAGUGCUCCGGAGUCGCGCAGCAUCACCGCGUGGGAGGCGAAAGCUGCCUCUCCUCUGGCCCUCGUCCCCGGGAGUCUGGGCCCCGCCCUGUGUCCACCCCGGAGCAGUCAUCCUGAUCAGCAGUUUCGAAGACUGCGCUCGCCCCUGGCCCAGGCGGCCCGCGCCCAUUCUCAGCACGGCAGCCCCAGCCGAGCUGAGGACGUCGAGCUGGACCCACUGGCUCCGGUUCUAGAGCACUGGGUGGGCCUGGGGAGACUCAGGCGCUCCCCGCCCUCCGGACCCGCCGUCUCCCCUGCCCAGCUCCUCCAGCUCGCUCGCCUCUGCAGCGGUAUCUGCCAGCCCGAGGCCUUUUCCUUUCUCUCUUUGGCUCUUGCCCCAUACCAGCAAUGCCCAGGGCUAACUACUGGCUCGGUACUGGUGGUGCUCAGGGAGCUGGGGGCUGCUGGGGAUCGAGCCCGGGCUGGCUGUGUGCAAGGCCAGCGCCCGCCUGGCCACUGCACCUUUCCCGCUCACAUCCGCGGCUCCUAAGCGUGUCUCUGCUGCUGUAGUGGACGGGCUCCAGGGGAGCCUAGAAUGAGCCUCGCAUGGAGACCCCAAAGGAGCAGGGGCAGCGGCCUUCCCUCAGCGGAGCCCUGCGUCCUCUCUGUGACAGCCCCCUGAUUGGGUGUCCCGCUUCCCACUGACCUUGGGCACUACUGCCCCGUGCUAGCUGUGGACAGGAGCUGUCGGUGCCUGCCCACGAGGCCAGGCCGGCCGCAGGGCUGGCAGAUGGUCUAGCCAAUAGCUGGUCCUUCCCCACUGCAGGGCCAGGAGCUGGGACUCUCCUGGGAGGCUCUGCCCACCCGGGGACCCCCGCCCAGCCGGGCCUGCCCAGCCCCAGCCCCAGCGGCUGGGUGCAGCCCUGCACCCACGGGGCAGGCACCUGCCUUUGCUUCUCCGGCCUGGAGUGAGGCCCUCAGGACUGACCCGGCCCCCCAGGCUGCACCCUGCAGGGAGAGGCAGUUGCUGCAGGCUGUGGGGCUCCAGGGCCCCUCACCCCAUCUGCCCUCCACCCCACUUGAGCUGCACCCUGCCGUGUAGGCGGCGUCUCCGCUGAGCGACAGGCAGCGCGGGGAGGGGGGGGGCGGCGGGGGACGCCGUGCCCGCGCCCUAAUGCUAGUGUCACUUUCCGCAUGCGGCGUGGGGCGGAUCGCGCGUGGCACCUGCUGGUUCCUGUCACUCAGCUCUUCCUGAGGGCUGCGAACUUCCCCCUGGCUCUGUGCAGCGGGAGCCUCUUCCCCUGCACAGCCCUCCUCCCCUCCUCCCCUCCUGCCUGCCCUUCCCUCCUUCCUUUCCCUCCUCCCCUCCUCUCCACCAUCUCCUCUGCCCUCCUUCCCUCUCCCCUCCUCCCCACCCUCCUCACCCCUCCUUCCCUCCCUACCCUGUCUUCCCUCCUUCCCGGCCCUUUCCUGUCCCCUCCUUCCCUCCUCCUUCCUUUCCCCCCUCCUCCCCCUGCUCCUCUCCUCCUUGCCCUCCUCUCCUCUCCCCUCCUCCCCCUUCGCCUCCUCUUUCUCCUUCUUUUCUCUUUCCUCCUUCCCCUCCUUUCUGUGCAGAACGAGCCAGGCCCCCCAACAUAUCAUCUUGAUUGGGGGUCUCAGGGCGUCUCCAGCCUCCUGGGGGAACAAUCAGUUCUGCUUUUCCUUGUUUGGUUGCUUUGUUUAGGGCCACACCUGGUGCUCAGGGAUGUCUCCUGGAGGGGCUUGGGGGACCCUCCGCUGUGCCUAGCCCGGGUGGGCUGUGUGGGAGAUAAGUGCCACCGUCACCCUGUGCUGUCUCGGCCCCCGGCCCCCUGGAGGCUAGGCCGGAGGCAGGGAUGCUGGACAUUAACCCGAAGUGUUUUAGGCUUCAUCAGUGAAUCGCCCCUUUUCCUCCCCCCAGAGAAGCUUACAGUGCUCUUGUGAGCACCCCGAGUCCCCUGAGUUGAUCUUUCACCUUUCACUGUUGCAGUUCCCCAGGCCAGUCUUGGUUACUUCUAAGUCAAGCCUGCUGAGAACUCUGGACUUUGUAUUUGCAGUGAAUUACUUGUUUUUCUAUUUCUAUCGCCUUUUCUUUUCUUUUUUUAGGUGAUCACAAUAAUCAUUAUUUAUUUCCUGAAGCCACUGAAAAACAUAAUGGUAUGAAUUCAGGCAUCUCUUUCAACUGGAGGAAGGAAAAUUGUGAUAACCAGUCAGAUUAAUAAGAUUGUGAUAAAUAGGUAAAACAAGAGGCAAACAUUAUCAACUAGGGGUUUCAACAUCCAUUUUCUUCUUUACACAUAAAAUAUACUGUAAA